AUUUUUUAGUGAUAAUUAAAAAUGAGUCCUGCUCAAUGUAUUAUAAAUAGCCGCAGUAUUUUGACUGUGCAAAGGUAGCAUAAUAAUUAGUCUUGUAAUUUAAGACUGGAAUGAAAGGAUAGACUAGAAAGUUUCUUUCUUGGCUUUUUCUUUUGAAAUUUACUUUUUAGUAAAAAGGCUAAAAUGUCUCUUUUAGACAAGAAGACCCUAUAAAGCUUUACAUAAAAUAAUUUAAUAAAUUAAAAAUAUGUUUUACUGGGGCGGUAAGAAGAAAAACACUUUUAAAAUAUAUAAAUGACAUUAUUUUAAUACCCAAAAUUUUUGAAAGUUAAAUAAGUUACUUUAGGGAUAACAGCGUAAUGUGUUUUGAAAGCUCAAAUUGACAAACAUGUUUGCGACCUCGAUGUUGGAUUAGGUUUCCUCCAUUCCGCAAGAGGAAGGGAAGGGGGUCUGUUCGACCCAUAAAAAUCUCCA
rnacentral:rRNA from 1 species